UACGUAGGGGGCAAGCGUUGUCCGGAAUCAUUGGGCGUAAAGCGCGUGUAGGCGGCUUGGUAAGUCCGGUGUGAAACCUUGGGGCUCAACCCCAAGCCUGCAUCGGAAACUGCCUCGCUCGAGUCCGGGAGGGGAGAGCGGAAUUCCUAGUGUAGCGGUGAAAUGCGCAGAUAUUAGGAAGAACACCGGUGGCGAAGGCACUUUACUGGGCUAUUACUAACACUCAGAGACGAAAGCUAGGGUAGCAAAUGGG
rnacentral:rRNA from 1 species